rnacentral:rRNA from 1 species
AAUAUUGCACAAUGGGGGAAACCCUGAUGCAGCGACGCCGCGUGAGCUAAGAAGGUCUUCGGGUCGUAAAGCUCUGUCCUAAGGGAAGAAACGCAUGGUACCUUUGGAGGAAGCCACUGCCAACUACGUGCCAGCAGCCGCGGUAAAACGUAGGGGGCGAGCGUUAUCCGGUAUUAUUGGGCGUAAAGGGUGCGGAGGCGGCCUUUUAAGUCAGAUGUGAAAGGCUACGGCUUAACCGUAGUUAGCAUUUGAAACUAAAAGGCUUGAGUGCAGGAGAGGAGAGUGGAAUUCCUAGUGUAGCGGUGAAAUGCGUAGAUAUUAGGAGGAACACCAGUGGCGAAGGCGACUCUCUGGACUGCAACUGACGCUGAGGCACGAAAGCGUGGGGAGCGAACA